UGCGGCCCUAGACCGCCACCAUUUCUGCCUGAGUGAUUGAUGUUUAAAGGAACCAGUACUAGAACUUACUCUCAAGCGUGGGUUUUGGGUCAGCAGUUGAACAUUCGGGUGAGGAUGGAGGCGUGGAAUGACUCCAAGAUGGGAACGGAACUCUGAAACGACACUCUGCCUUUUGUUAAAGGGAAUCCCUGCUCCGGAGCCAUGUCACCCAGUGAUUCAAAGCAGAUCCAUCCGAGAAGUGGCAGGGCAAAGAGGGGAAGUGGUCUCAGCUGUAGUUCUGGGGAGAGGAAACCCAGAGCCCACCCCCUACCACCACCACCAGGAGCAAGGACUCCAGUGUACCAUGGGAGCUCCUCAGUCCAGGUGAUGGACUCACUCUUGGUCUUUAUCAGUUGACCAGCCGUGGUGGUGCUCACCUCCAACAUUCAGGGAAGUUGCGGCAGAAGGAUCAAGAGUUCAAGGCCAGACCCCGUCUCACAAAACAAAACCCAAACAGACAAACAAUCGCUAUAACUGAUGGAUCUGUGACCUAGUGUUCGGGUCCAGUCCACAGUAUGGCAGAAUGGCGUCAUUGGCAGAUACCGGGUGCUGGGUGGCCACCCACAUCCUCCUGAAAGUCUUAACCUUGUCUGUGCUGUGGAGCCUUAAAAGUGGAGGUUUUGGAAUCCCACAGUCUUCUGUGCGCAUCGAAGG